rnacentral:lncRNA from 1 species
ACUUCUUCAAUAAACAAAUAUUGACUGUUUUUUUUUUAAUUUCAGAGGAAUUUUCAAACUCGUCCACUAAUAUCACAAAAGAAAAAUCAAAAAUUUCUGCGACUGUUUUAACAGGUAUAUUCGAAUGACCGUAAGAAAAAAGGGGAACUUCAAUAUGAAGAUUAACAACUGUAAAAUUAUUCUGCUUUUUAUAACGACACUUUGUGGUGUUGUUUAUUUUUGUUGAACAUAUUGACUGAAAAAUGUAGGCACGUAAAACAAUUUAGCCAUAAGCAAUGUCGGAUAAAACAACGGUUUUCUAUUGUAAGGAACGUGUUUAAAAAAGUCGAAACUAAAAACAAAGUUGGCAGAAAAAUAAAUCAGCGAUAUUAUGGAAAGAUGUUUUCGAUAAGUUGUUAACCCAUUUGAAAAAAACAUAACUGCAUUCUUAGUUGUUAUUUUUUUAUAUGGAUUAGACAAUUAUAGUCAGAGAGAUUGUAUAUUCGUUUUUGAAUGGGAACUGAUCGUAUAAAAACGCAGACAUUAUCGAGUGCAAAAUAAUAGUCCUUGGCGCUUCAAGGAAUACUCAUAAAAAACAUUUUUUAGAACAUAUUAAAAUAAUUUAAUUUUGGAUGUAACGCGUCUUCUGAUUGGCUGACGUUAUUUUGUUAUGAGCCCAUAG